UACGUAGGGCGCAAGCGUUGUCCGGAAUUAUUGGGCGUAAAGAGCUCGUAGGCGGUCCGUCACGUCUGCCGUGAAAACCCGCGGCUUAACUGCGGGCUUGCGGUUGAUACGGGCGGGCUAGAGUUCGGUAGGGGAGACUGGAAUUCCUGGUGUAGCGGUGAAAUGCGCAGAUAUCAGGAGGAACACCGGUGGCGAAGGCGGGUCUCUGGGCCGAUACUGACGCUGAGGAGCGAAAGCGUGGGGAGCGAACAGG
rnacentral:rRNA from 1 species